GGGACACGUGGUAUCCUGUCUGAAUAUGGGGGGACCAUCCUCCAAGGCUAAAUACUCCUGACUGACCGAUAGUGAACCAGUACCGUGAGGGAAAGGCGAAAAGAACCCCGGCGAGGGGAGUGAAAAAGAACCUGAAACCGUGUACGUACAAGCAGUGGGAGCACCUUCGGGUGUGACUGCGUACCUUUUGUAUAAUGGGUCAGCGACUUAUAUUCUGUAGCAAGGUUAACCGUAUAGGGGAGCCGCAGGGAAACCGAGUCUUAACUGGGCGUUAAGUUGCAGGGUAUAGACCCGAAACCCGGUGAUCUAGCCAUGGGCAGGUUGAAGGUUGGGUAACACUAACUGGAGGACCGAACCGACUAAUGUUGAAAAAUUAGCGGAUGACUUGUGGCUGGGGGUGAAAGGCCAAUCAAACCGGGAGAUAGCUGGUUCUCCCCGAAAGCUAUUUAGGUAGCGCCUCGUGAACUCAUCUUCGGGGGUAGAGCACUGUUUCGGCUAGGGGGUCA
rnacentral:rRNA from 1 species